rnacentral:rRNA from 1 species
UACGUAGGGGGCAAGCGUUGUCCGGAUUUAUUGGGCGUAAAGAGCGUGUAGGCGGCUUUACAGGUCCGUUGUGAAAACUCGAGGCUCAACCUCGAGACGCCGGUGGAAACCGUAAGGCUAGAGUCCGGAAGAGGAGAGUGGAAUUCCUGGUGUAGCGGUGAAAUGCGCAGAUAUCAGGAAGAACACCCGUGGCGAAGGCGGCUCUCUGGGACGGUACUGACGCUGAGACGCGAAAGCGUGGGGAGCGAACGGG